rnacentral:rRNA from 1 species
AACGAACGCUGGCGGCGUGCUUAACACAUGCAAGUCGAACGCGAAGGGACUUCGGUCCUGAGUAAAGUGGCGCACGGGUGAGUAACGCGUAGAUAACCUGUCUUCAUGUCUGGAAUAAUACGCCGAAAGGGGUACUAAUACCGGAUAUUCUUGCUUUUCAUAAGUUAUGCAAGCAAAGGUGGCCUCUGCAUAUGCUACUGCAUGAAGAGGGGUCUGCGUACCAUUAGCUAGUAGGUGGGGUAAUGGCCUACCUAGGCGACGAUGGUUAGCGGGUCUGAGAGGAUGAUCCGCCACACUGGCACUGGAACACGGGCCAGACUCCUACGGGAGGCAGCAGUGAGGAAUAUUGCGCAAUGGGGGAAACCCUGACGCAGCGACGCCGCGUGAGUGAGGAAGGCCUUCGGGUCGUAAAGCUCUGUCAAGAGGAAAGAAGUGUACAAUGGCUAAUACCUGUUGUAUUUGACGGUACCUCUAAAGGAAGCACCGGCUAACUCCGUGCCAGCCGCCGC